ensembl:lncRNA
CAAGCCUUAAUUCCUGAAAAGGAGCCCGGGCCUCAUGGCAGAGAAUAACAAAGUCCUCCUGGAAAGUGUUAAGCUCUGAAGCCCGGAGGCUGAUAGUUAUCAAACUCAAGCAAACAGCUGAGCAAGAUCAAGCAGAUCCCCGGGGCCAUCUCUAGAACAUCUGGAACUGCAGGUCUGGGUUGGAAGUGGAAAGCCUGCAAUUCCAUCAAAUUCCCAGAGGAAAUACAACCAUCUGCAGAGGAAAUACAACCAGCUGCCUCAAGCUUGUUGGUCAUAUCUUCACUGCCAUGAUGGACUAUACCCCCAAACUGUAAGAACGGAGGAUGCCAGUGAUCAGGCAGACACGGUGCUGGAGAAGUAGCUGAGAGUUCUACAUCUAGAUCCACAGGCAGCAGGAAGAGAGAGACAUUGGGACUCGCUUGAGCUCUUGGAACAUCGUAACCCACCCUCAGUGACAUACUUCCUCCAACAGGAAGUAUGAGGGACAUACUAUUCAAUGAGACAGGAAUCACCGACAUGUUCCCUGGGCCCUGAGUCAGAAGCUCAAUAAAUGCAAUGUUUUGUGAAUUACCAAGUGGGCAAUGUGGAGGUCAGCAUUCUCAACCCUCUUUGCUAGUAUCUCUAUCAGUCUCAAUGAUCAAUGCUCCUCCUCUUCCCAGUCCUUCCUUUUUAACACCCCACAUGGUAUUUAUCAGAGUUUACUAUGCAAAAGGCUGUUCUGAGGACAUUGGCAAAUUGCAGACUCAUGGCCCCUCACGUCAUACAGAGAGUCUGGUUACAUUGAUUCUGGGUGCAAAUGCGUGACCGAGGGCCAGUCCUGGACCUUUGUCCUGUAGUGUAGGACUGCCUCUUGAGUUCCCAGGCCACAGCGGGCCUUUCAUUUCCUGCAGUCUAAACUAACUCGCCAGUUUGGUGUUAGAGACACACAUUUCCUUUACUGGUAGAGUUAAUGGGAAACAGGGACACAGCAACAUGCUGUGUGAGUCCAUUUGGGGCAGACAACAGAAGCUCUGAUAGUCACAAGUCAUUCUUUGCUCUUGUCCCUUAUUAACUUUGACAUUUGCAGGAAGCUCAAAUUCUGGUUUCCUGGUGGGUGGUUGUGUGUGGGGGGGCUCCCAUGCCUCUGCCUUACCUGAAGGUCCCCCCUUACCUGAGGGUUUAAUGUUCUGUUGAUGAUAUGAUAAUCACCGUGGCAGUAGGCUCAAUGCCACAGACAGGCAAUUAUCACUUCAGCCGAGAGAAAAUAAACAGCCACACAGAUGGUGGCUUGAAAUCUUUGCAGGGAUCUUAAUGUAAUGUUUACUUAAAAAAUUCCCAUGAGAAAAAAAAAAGAACUGAUUUUAGAUACAGAAAUCAUAAGACAGCAACAAGUGCUCACUCUAGGCCCUGAGCAAAUUUGGGGCACAUGUUCCCCAAAUCCUUUCUUCACAGGUCUAGAGUACCCUCUCCCAAUCUCCUCUGGCCACUUGAGUACAGCAUGUUGAACACUGUGUAGGUCCAUCCAUCUACUGGUCCUCUGUGUUUUUCCUCUUUCAACAAGGUCAACAGAUGUUUGUUUUUUGUUUUUUGUUUUUUUUCUUUUUUUAGAAUGUUGUCACAGGGUGGCACCAUCAUUCAGAGGAAAAAUCCUCCACAGCAAUUAAACACAGCGGAAAGGAGAGUAAAUGGACACACCUGUAAUUCUACCAUCCAGAGCAAACCACACCUUCUUGGCUCUGGUCUCUCUGUUCUUCAGUGUGUUGGAGGGGUUGUUUGAGUUGUCAUAGGGUUGGAGCAGAGCCUUUGCAGCCCAAACAAGCUGCAGUCUGCACCUGAACUCAGUAGGACAAUUUAAACAGGCAAUUAAUAGUGAAGAACACAGAGUCACCCACUGUGGGCACAUUAUAAUGAGUAAUAAGUAGGAUUUAGUGAUCUCAAAUCCAUCUCUGAGGUCCUGAUGUGACGUUCCUGUUUAAACAGAGUAAAAAACAUAUGCUCAGCUAAGCAGUCCUGCUCAUCUUGACCUAUCAUUGACUUGGCUGCUGUCUCUCCUAUGAAGUGGCUCGACAGGCUGUCAGAACUGUGUGAAAUCUCUCUCAGGAAGACAUGGUUCCCCUCUGGCUAUAUGUUUUUCCUUCUCCCAACAAGAGAUUCCUAGGGAAAUUCCAGUUUCUUGGGCGGCCAUUGUUUCAGUAGUCUAAUAGCAAAAGAGAGGAUCACUAGUGACCUGUUAGAGUAUUCUCAUUGCUGCCAAGUGUGUGGUUUGAGAAUAACCUCCAGAGGCUCAUAGAUAUGAAUUUGCUUGGUCCUUGGUUGGUGGAUCAGUUUGGGAAGGAUUAGGAGGUGUGGCCUUUUAAAGGAGUUGUGUUAUUGGAGGUGGACUUUGAGGUUUCAAAAGCCCAAACCAGGCCCAAUCUCUCUCUCUCUCUCUCUCUCUCUCUCUCUCUCUCUCUCUCUCUCUCUCUCCUCUCUUCUGCCUCCAACUUGUGGGUCAGGAUGUAAGCUCAUAGCUACUGCUCCAGUGCCAUGACUGCCUGCCUCAUGCCAUGCUCACUGCCAUGAUGGUUAUGGAUUCACCCUCUGGAGCAAGUCCCCAAUUAAAUGUUUUCUUUUAUAAGAUGCCUUCGUCGUGAUGUCUUUUUCCCCCUACCAAUAAAAAAGUAACUAAGACACAAAGAUAAUGGCAAGGUGCAGUUUUUUUUUUUUACACAAAUGAAACCACAAAAUACACUGUCUGACCCCAUUGCUGAGACAUGUUGCAUUGCAUUGUGUAUGUAUGUCUCAAAUAAAGAGGUCUCUAGCCUCAAUUUAGAGUGCUCUAGGCAGGCCAUGUUCCUUUCCUUUGAAAAAGUUAAUUUAUUAUUUUUAACUUUCUCAGUUUUAUGGAUGUAUAGUUAACAAAUAAAUUAUACAUAUAUAAAAU